rnacentral:rRNA from 1 species
GAUGAACGCUGGCGGCGUGCCUAAUACAUGCAAGUCGAGCGAACAGACGAGGAGCUUGCUCCUCUGACGUUAGCGGCGGACGGGUGAGUCACACGUGGAUAACCUACCUAUAAGAAUGGGAUAACUUCGGGAAACCGGAGCUAAUACCGGAUAAUAUAUUGCACCGCAUUGUUCAAUAGUGAGAGACGGUUUUGCUGUCACUUAUAGAUGGAUCCGCGCCGCAUUAGCUAGUUGGUAAGGUAACGGCUUACCAAGGCUACGAUGCGUAGCCGACCUGAGAGGGUGAUCGGCCACACUGGAACUGAGACACGGUCCAGACUCCUACGGGAGGCAGCAGUAGGGAAUCUUCCGCAAUGGGCGAAAGCCUGACGGAGCAACGCCGCGUGAGUGAUGAAGGUCUUCGGAUCGUAAAACUCUGUUAUUAGGGAAGAACAAAUGUGUAAGUAACUAUGCACGUCUUGACGGUACCGAAUCAGAAAGCCACGGCUAACUACGUG